GGUGUAGCUCAGUUGGUUAGAGUGCCAGGUUGUGGCCCUGGAGGUCGUGGGUUCGACUCCCACUAC
rnacentral:tRNA from 1 species